UUCGGUCGGCUAUUCGUUAGCUGUUUCAUACAAAAUUUAUCUUGCUGAAAUUUUCAUACGUUUCGGGAAUACCCAGAUUGUAUUUUAUAUUAGUGACAGAGCAUUCAGUUUUUGUCAGCCGAGCGGUUGGGCCCAGCUGUUGGUCGAAUGCCAGAUGAUACAAUUGACACCAUUUAUUUAUACGGAGAGAAGAUCAGAGACGACUAUGGAUAUGGAUAUUGCUUGAGAUUUUUUUGUCCAGAAAUAAAAUUCCAAUGUGCUUGAUGGUCACUGUACAAGGAUAUGAAAAAAUUUUGCGAAAAAAUUCGACCCAGACGCCAGGAAUUACAAUAGAGUUAUAUUCUGAGUGCAUUAUAUCAAAAAUGCAUUGAUUGGACA